rnacentral:lncRNA from 1 species
GCCGCUUCCUCUCAGGGGCCGCCGCCUCCUGAGCCGCCCAGCCCCGGGGCCGCCGCGCUGCGCCGACCGCCACCGCCGCCGCCGCCAUGAACAUUUUCCGGCUGACUGGGGACCUGUCCCACCUGGCGGCCAUCGUCAUCCUGCUGCUGAAGAUCUGGAAGACGCGCUCCUGCGCCGGUAUUUCUGGGAAAAGCCAGCUUCUGUUUGCACUGGUCUUCACAACUCGUUACCUGGAUCUUUUUACUUCAUUUAUUUCAUUGUAUAACACAUCUAUGAAGGUAUGGUAUGCCAUCCACAGGAAUGUAUUUCAUCUACAGUGCACAGGUCUAUGGACACUUAAUUUAUGUCAGCUGUGUAUUUUUAAUUAAAAUGCUCCAAAAAU